UACGUAGGGGGCAAGCGUUGUCCGGAUUUAUUGGGCGUAAAGAGCGUGUAGGCGGUUUGGUAGGUCCGCUGUGAAAACUCGAGGCUCAACCUCGAGACGCCGGUGGAAACCAUCAGACUAGAGUCCGGAAGAGGAGAGUGGAAUUCCUGGUGUAGCGGUGAAAUGCGCAGAUAUCCGGAGGAACACCAGGGGCGAAAGCGGCCGACUGGUCGAGUACUGACGCUGAGGCGCGACGGCGUGGGGAGCAAACCGG
rnacentral:rRNA from 1 species